rnacentral:rRNA from 1 species
CACGUAGGGGGCGAGCGUUGUCCGGAUUUAUUGGGCGUAAAGAGCUCGUAGGUGGCUCGGUAAGUCGGGUGUGAAAUUUCGAGGCUCAACCUCGAGACGCCACCUGAUACUGCUGUGCUAGAGUCCGGUAGGGGAGCGUGGAAUUCCGUGGUGUAGCGGUGAAAUGCGCAGAUAAUCAGGAGGAACACCGGUGGCGAAGGCGGGUCUCUGGGCCGAUGACUGACGCUGAGGAGCGAAAGCGUGGGGAGCGAACAGG